UUAUAGCUCUAUUUGGGGUUCAUACUCCAAACUGCUCAUGCAAAUGGACACACAUUACCACUAUAUCAAAGACAUAACUUUAGUUAAGGGUGUCCAACUUUAAAUAAACAUCCUUUAAAUAUAGAAUUUGACAUAUAUCUACAAAUAAACUAAUCAGCAAAUGCGGCUAUAGCUCCGCCCCUAGUUAAAUCGAUAAUUGAUAACUAAUAAUUCGAUAGUCGAUAAAUUAAUAUCUUAAUGAUAUCUACAAAUCAAUAACGAAUAAAUCAAAUCGAUAAACUUUAAAAUUGAACCGAACCGAUCGAUAUGCAACCUGAUAGUUAGGGUGGAAAUGAGUAAAAUGAGUUAUACUAUUAUUUUAUACUAAAUAAACUAUUAAUAAUAAUACAAGAAUAAAGUUUUUGCUUUUACAAUGCAAAUAAAGUUUUAGCAAUGAGUAUGACAGGGGAAGCCAACAUUGAAGGCAAAGUUGUAGGGUAUUAGAAUAAUGAGGAAAAAUGUAUGUAAGGUUAGAGAGAUAAUGGGAUUAUUAUUUUGACCAUUCUCCUCACUCCUCGCCUAUCUCUCCUCCAUUUGUUCUUUUUUCCCUGAAACCGGACAAAGAAAGACCCUCUUCUCCUCGCUCGACUGGAGAUCGAGCUAGGAGAACGAAAACCAAAAAUUAAUAAAUAAAAUCAAAGAAAAAUGUCCUGCGAAAAGAUUGACGGCCUGGCGAGGUGGUUCGGCACCAGUGUCGCAUCGGCAUUCUUUGCCUCAUUGGAACGAUGUGCUUGUGUCAAUCUCACAACUUAUGCCUCUGAUGAUGAGGAAGAGGAAGAAGCGAAAGAUCGACCUCUUUUUAUGAACAAUUUGCCUUCUCAUGUUGAUCCUUGCCCUAGGAACAACAAUUCUCAUUCCGUUGACAACCUCCCUGUUUAAAUCAUCUGCCCGAUAUCUACUGGACAGCUUACGAUGCAACCUUUCUUUCCGUUUUUUUUCAUAGAACUGGCAUCACCAACUUCGUCAUAUUAAUCCCCUGGCUCCAAACAGAGGAAAUGGAAAUGUAAUUCUGGUAUCAACUGUAAUAUUUUUUUUCCUCUUAUAGACUGAUUUUUCCCUUGAAGUGUUGUAUGAUGUGUUUGUCCGUUGGCAUUUUUGUUACAAGGUCAAACAUUUAAGCACGAAAGACGCCUUUUAUUGUUUCUUUACCUUGACAUUCUUUACCAAGGGGUCUUGCUUGCUCUAGGAAAUAGCAAAUGCCAGUGAGGCUGUUGUACUUUAUGUUUCUGAAGCUAACAGUGUAAAAUUGGCCCUCAUAAGCAUUGGCAACACAAUCUUGUCAAGUUUUCGGGCAUUACAACUUUUAUGUUCCUGGGGUUAUUUUAAAAAUAAAUUUAGCUUUCAUUA